rnacentral:rRNA from 1 species
UGGGUAACCUGCCUCAAAGAGGGGAAUAGCCUCCCGAAAGGGAGAUUAAUACCGCAUAAUAUGUUUAAGUCGCAUGACUUUAACAUCAAAGGAUUUUCUUUUAAGAAAUUCCACUUUGAGAUGGACCCGCGGCGCAUUAGCUAGUUGGUGAGGUAACGGCUCACCAAGGCAACGAUGCGUAGCCGACCUGAGAGGGUNAUCGGCCACAUUGGAACUGAGACACGGUCCAGACUCCGUAGGGAGG